rnacentral:lncRNA from 1 species
UUCUCUAUUCUCUAUUAUUUUGUGUUGCUAUUACAUGUAUUCUCUAUUCUGUAAACCCCAUUCUGACCCUCAUAGGUAAACUUCUUUUGUAUGCAUGGGAUAAACUGACCUUUCAAUUCUCAAGGCUAAAUAAGUAUUUUAUAGGCUAAAUACAAACUUACCUGUCAAGGUAGAAUUGUAAUCUGAGUGGUAUCGGUGUUUCUCAAGUCACCAUAA